UACGUAGGGUGCGAGCGUUAAUCGGAAUUACUGGGCGUAAAGCGUGCGCAGGCGGCGGCUCAAGUCAGGUGUGAAAUCCCCGGGCUUAACCUGGGAAUUGCGCUUGAAACUAGGCUGCUUGAGUGUGGCAGAGGGGGGUGGAAUUCCACGUGUAGCAGUGAAAUGCGUAGAUAUCUGGAGGAACACCGGUGGCGAAGGCGGCAUCCUGGACCGGCAUUGACGCUGAGGCGCGAAAGCUAGGGGAGCAAACGGG
rnacentral:rRNA from 1 species